rnacentral:rRNA from 1 species
UACGGAGGGUGCAAGCGUUGCUCGGAAUCACUGGGCGUAAAGGGUGCGUAGGCGGGGCUUUAAGUCAGGGGUGAAAUCCUGGAGCUCAACUCCAGAACUGCCUUUGAUACUGAGGAUCUUGAGUUCGGGAGAGGUGAGUGGAACUGCGAGUGUAGAGGUGAAAUUCGUAGAUAUUCGCAAGAACACCAGUGGCGAAGGCGGCUCACUGGCCCGAUACUGACGCUGAGGCACGAAAGCGUGGGGAGCAAACAGG